UACAGAGGUCUCAAGCGUUGUUCGGAUUCAUUGGGCGUAAAGGGUGCGUAGGCGGCGCGGUAAGUCGGGUGUGAAAUUUCGGAGCUUAACUCCGAAACUGCAUUCGAUACUGGCGUGCUUGAGGACUGGAGAGGAGACUGGAAUUCAUGGUGUAGCAGUGAAAUGCGUAGAGAUCAUGAGGAAGACCAGUGGCGAAGGCGGGUCUCUGGACAGUUCCUGACGCUGAGGCACGAAGGCCAGGGGAGCAAACGGG
rnacentral:rRNA from 1 species